GGGAGCCCUGGGGCCUAACGGGUUUCAUUUAUUGUAUUUGGACACGGAAUUAUAACCAACUUCCGCGCAGCAACGAAAGUGAAAGAAAUCAUGACAACCUACACGGACAAAGGAGAAAAGGUAAGAAAACAAAUUAAUUAGGGAGAAAGAAGUUUCUUCGAGCAACUCAACAGCGACUUUUUGUAUGAUCCACGUGUAUCUUAAUUACUGAUACCAUUAACGUGUUUUGAAUG